ACAGCGAUUACAAUGUCAGUGGAAAUUAACGAAAUCUUUGAUACCAGUCUCACCAACCGUGCAGAUGACAAUUACAAAACUAAAGCUCAACAAAUUGAGUCCACGAUUAACAAGGGUUUCAAAUCUCUGUCUAACUAUGUAAACGGUUCUGCAAAAGUCACUGGCUUCAGGUCUGGUAGUAUUAUAGCAGACUACACUAUUAAUUCAAUAUCCAACACCCCUGAUUUUACAUCAGCAAACAUAAACGUUUCGGGCAUCCCUUUAGUUCAGAAU